GGAACCGGCAUCCUAGCCACCUGGCCUCGGCUGAGCGCGUCUGCCGCCAGGGCCUGGGCUCCUCGCCUCCCAGAAGAUCUUUACUCAGAGGCGGCUCCCCCGCCCCCCCGGGGCCUCCCUGAGGCUGAGGAGGACCUUUCACCGAGGACAGUGGCAGGGAGCAGGUUGGGGGGAUGGAGGGUGGAGAGAAAUGAGGCCAGGUUGACUUGAGGGUGUCCUCAGGGGUCCCACAGCUGUCUGUCCCACACACCUGCUAGGAGCCCUGUGUCUCCCUGACCUUAAACUCCCCCUCCGGGCCCUGCUGUGGUCACCCCCUGGGCAGCACCAGUGUUGUUUCAGGGCCUGCUGACCUUUGGGGACGUGGCUACGCACUUCUCCCAGGAAGAAGGGGCACGUCUGGACCUGGGAGAGGGCGUUUAGAGAGGUGAUGCUGGAGACUCGCAGGAACCCGGCCUCCUCAGGAGUCCCAGGAUCCAAACCAGAUCCAGCCUCCCUGCUGGAGCAAGGAAAGCAGCCCUGGGGCUUGGACCUGUGGGGGGCCCAGGAAGGAGAGACCCCGGGAGGCCCUGGCACAGUUGGCGUGGGCAUGUCCGGCCAUCUCCACGACGAGCGGGUCGCCCUGGUCUGCCUGCUCGGGCCAGCAUCACCCGGUGGCCUGCGGAUCGGGCGUGGCAGUGGCACUUCCCUGGACAGACGGAUGCUCUGAAAGCCCGUUUUCAAGGGCAUCCAGAUUUUAAAACUUCAAACGUAGGUCGUGGGCUUUGUUUUCAGCACAGGUGUGUUCUAAAUGCCUUCGAGGUCCGAAGGGGCUACGGGGCUUUCGGGUCGACUUUGAUCACGCAGCAGCCCUGAGCACCUGGUCGCAACUCUAGACUUCAUUUGGUUCUGGCGCUGUUUUCAGAUGCUGAUUUGCCGCAGCGGGAUGGGAUGUUUCCAUCUUAGGCCGCUCGGCCCUGGUGCUCCUGUAGCACCGAAGGCUUUACUCGCUCAGCUUCACGUUCCUGUAAGCUGCCUUUUGGGUUAUGUCGGGCAAGGUGAAACAUUAAGAAUGUGCCUUUCGUUUGAACUGUUCUUUUUUCAGCCACUGUUCUUAACUUUACAGAGUAAGGUUGCGUAGUAGGGAUGUCUUCUGUAAAUAAUCACAGGAAAACAACUCACACCCAUGGUGGUGAAGGUGAGGGACACGAAGUGCGUCAGGCCAGUGGUCCUCAAACACACAGGAGGAGAUGAAAGUUUGUUGGCAAAGGCUGCCUGAGCUUCGGGGGAAGGGCACUGUGCCCGGGAUCUCCCACUGACCCCUUGGCAUAUGCCCCCCACCCUGAGGCUGAGGGUCCCCGUGCACAGUACAGUGAGGCAUGUGCUCCGACAUUCCAUAAGCUAAUUACGAAGCAACCCGUGACCAUUGAGGAAAUAUAAAAAAUGCAAAUAUAAAAGUAAAACAUAACAGGGAGUGUUAUCUUGGAGUCCUCUUAUUUUGGCUCUUUAGGAACCCUUAGGCCGCCAGGGAAAAUGGCCAUGGAAAGGGGGUGUGGGAUUUGGGUACCCCCGUGGCCACAGUGUUUUCAUCCAGGCUAUCUAGACUCAAAGCUUUAAGUAGAGAAAACGUCCCCAAACAAAAGAAACAUGUGAUCUCAAUCCUGAAAGACCUUCUUGCAAACUAAGAAAAACAAGAGAGCUCUCGAGGGCUAACCUCAGAGGCACUGUGCGAACAUCGAGAACAGACACGUACGCCACUGAGAGAGAAGUCAGUGAGACUCAGAUUCAACGACAAAAACCGUAACGCUUUCUGCAUGUGCUUCCUUAACACGUCAUCGUCAUCUUUUUUUGGGGGGGAGUCUUUUUAGGGCUGUACCCCUGGCAUGUGGUUCCCAGGCUAGGGGACACAGCCACAGCAAUGCCAGAUCACAGCCACAUCUACAACCUACACCACAGCUCACGGCAACGCCAGAUCCUUAACCCACUGAGGGAGGCCAGGCAUCAAACCCACAACCUCAUGGUUCCUAGUCGGAUUCGUUUCUGCUGCGCCACGACGGGAACUCCAGUUCGGGUUUUUUCAUCAAUGCUCUUUGUUAAGUUGAGGAAGUUCCCUUUUAUUCCUAGUUUGAGUGUUCUUAUCAUGAAAGGGUGUUAGAGUUUGUCAAAUGCUUUAUCUGUAUCAACUAAAAUGAUAGUGUGUUGGAGUUACCUUCGUGGUGCAGUGGUUAACCAAUCUGACUAGGAACCAUGACGUUGCGGGUUCGAUCCCUGGCCUUGCUCAGUGGGUUGAGGAUCCAGCGUUGCCGUGAGCUGUGGUGUAGCUCGCAGACACGGCUCGGAUCCCGCGUUGCUGUGGCUCUGGUGUAGGCCGGUGGCUACAGCUCCGAUUCGACCCCUUGCUGGGAACUCCAUAUGCCGCAGGAGCAGCCCAAGAAAUGGCAAAAAGACAAAAAUAAAUAAAUAAAUAAAUAAAAUAGAAUGAUAGUGUAUUUUUUCCUUUGUUCUAUUAAUGUGGUGUAUUACAUUGAUUUUUCUUUUCAUUUUUGGCCACCCCUAAGCUUCCUGGCCCAGAGAUCAGAUGCAAGCUGCAGUUUCAACCUAAGUGGGAUCCUUAACCCACUGUGCAGGACCAGCCAUUAAACCUUCGUCCCAGCGCUGCCAAGAUGCCGCUGAUCCUGUUACUUUUUCUUUUAAAAUUUAUUUUUCCUUUAUAAUUAUCUAACAUGUGCACAUGAUUACCAAGUCAAAUCUAUAUAUAAAACAAGGUGUAUUCAAAGAAGUCUUUUUUUUUUUUUUUUUUUUUUUUUUCCCUCUUAGGGCCGCACCUGUGGCAUAUGGAGGUUCCCAGGCUAGAGGUCGAAAUGGAGCUGCAGCUGCCAGCCCACACCACAGCCACAGCAACGUGGGAACCAAGCUGAGUCUGCGACCUACCCCUCGGCUCACAGCAACGCUGGAUCCUUAACCCACUGAUCGAGGCCAUGGAUCGAACCCGCAUCCUUGUGGAUCCUAGCCAGGUUUGUUAAGUGCUAAGCCAGGAAGGGAACUCCUGUUUGAUUCCCUUUACUAUUUUUUUUUUUUCUU
ensembl:lncRNA